UGCGUAGGCGGAAAAUUAAGUCAGUGAUGAAAUCCUGCAGCUCAACUGUAGAUCUGUCAUUGAUACUGAUUUUCUUGAAUUUAGUUGAGGUAGGCGGAAUGUGUAAUGUAGCGGUGAAAUGCUUAGAUAUUACACAGAACACCGAUUGCGAAGGCAGCUUACUAAGCUAACAUUGACGCUGAGGCACGAAAGCGUGGGGAGCGAACAGGAUUAGAUACCCUGGUAGUCC
rnacentral:rRNA from 1 species